AGUGAACGCUGGCGGCGUGCUUAACACAUGCAAGUCGAACGAGAACGGAUUAUAGCUUGCUAUAAUUGUCAGCUAAGUGGCGCACGGGUGAGUAAUGUAUAGGUAAUAUGCCUCUUACUAAGGGAUAACAAAUGGAAACGUUUGCUAAUACCUUAUACUCCUUAUUAACAGAAGUUAAUAAGGGAAAGAUUUAUUGGUAAGGGAUUAGCCUGUAUUGUAUCAGUUAGUUGGUGGGGUAAUGGCUUACCAAGACUAUGACACAUAACUGGUUUGAGAGGAUGAUCAGUCACACUGGAACUGAGACACGGUCCAGACUCCUACGGGAGGCAGCAGUGGGGAAUAUUGCACAAUGGACGAAAGUCUGAUGCAGCAACGCCGCGUGGAGGAUGACACAUUUCGGUGCGUAAACUCCUUUUAUAUGAGAAGAUAAUGACGGUAUUAUAUGAAUAAGCACCGGCUAACCCCGUGCCAGCCGCCGCAGUAACAC
rnacentral:rRNA from 1 species